rnacentral:rRNA from 5 species
GGUUAAGCGACUAAGCGUACACGGUGGAUGCCCUGGCAGUCAGAGGCGAUGAAGGACGUGCUAAUCUGCGAAAAGCGUCGGUAAGGUGAUAUGAACCGU